rnacentral:rRNA from 1 species
UACGAAGGGUGCAAGCGUUACUCGGAAUUACUGGGCGUAAAGCGUGCGUAGGUGGUUUGUUAAGUCUGAUGUGAAAGCCCUGGGCUCAACCUGGGAACUGCAUUGGAAACUGGCUUACUAGAGUGCGGUAGAGGGGUGCGGAAUUCCCGGUGUAGCAGUGAAAUGCGUAGAUAUCGGGAGGAACAUCCGUGGCGAAGGCGGCUCCCUGGACCAGCACUGACACUGAGGCACGAAAGCGUGGGGAGCAAACAGG